UUCUAAACACCAUCGCGUAAACUCAUCCCCUCUCGACACCACCACAAUUCGCCACCCUCUGUUCUUAUAUUUUCGAACCGCACAAGACCUUUCUUGACACCCACACCACAACAACCUCGUGUCGCCACCGAAAUCCAUCGUCGGAGGUUCGGGACUCACCGGAGCACAAGCAGAAACAAGUAUCAUCGCCGGAGCCGUCCGAAGUUACGUCGAAGAUUGCUUCAAACUCUGUUUUCGGUAUACCUUUAUUCUCAGUCAACCCAUUUAUAUUUUUUUAUACACACUUGAUCAGUAAACAAGAACUAUGGUGGUGGUGGGUUUUCUGUUCGGAUGGUUUUAUUUUGUCGGUAGAUGAUAACUCUUUUUUUUUAUUCCUAUGGCCACUGAUCAUGUGCAUGUUGAUAAGAUUCAUGUUAACACAUAAACUUUUAGAACCUGGACAUAAGGUAAUUAAUUUAAUUCAUUAGUUAUGUCAAAUGUGGAAAUUAAGUUCUCAAAAAGUGUAACUAUAAAAUGUCUUAUUGUUUUCUUAAACAUAAAAACGUAGGUUUUUUAUACACAUGUAUAAACUAACUCAUUCAUUUUAUAAAUAGAAUAUGUAUGUCAUAAUAGAUUAACUAAACAAAAUCUUUCUAAAUUCUUUUCCUUUAAAAUUUUAUUUUCUUUUCUAAACUCUAAAAGUAAUUAGUUCUUUCAUAAAAACGUUAACAACUAACAAUUCAUUUUUAACCCUUUUAUUUUUACAUUAUUUUAUUUUAUAAUCUUAAUAACGAGCUAAGUACAUAAAUAACUAAUAUAGAGAUAUUAGUAAUCCCUCUCUCGUGUGGUAUUCUUACACCUAGGUUACUCGCUCCUGUUCGUUCUUUUGGAUUUUCAAUCUUACUCGUACGUUUUUACAAGAAAUCGCAACGCAAUCACUGUGAGUAUACUCGACCCCAUUUUUAUUUUUAAACACUUUUGGGUGCAACAUGUGUUCUAUACAAAAACACGUAACACUUGAAACUUGUUAUAUGCACACUCUAUCUAUUUUAAACAUGACACAAUUUGAUGCUUGUUAAUCUCGUAUGCUAGGUAAACUUUUCGUGUCCAUAUGCUCAUUAACCUUGUUAAACUUAUUAAACUUGUUAGAGUUGUUAAACUUGUUAAACUUGAGUACGCACCGCCCUUGAGUGAGUCUUGGGGUGUUUGCGUUGGAAACUUGUGAGACUUGUUAGACUUCUUAUAUUUAUUUACGCACCGCCCUUGAGUGAGUCUUGGGGUGUUUGCAUUGGAAACUUCUGAGACUUAUUAAACUUCUGAGACUUAUUAAACUUCUGAGACUUAUUAAACUUCUGAGACUUAUUAAAUCUCCUAUGCUAUAGGAGUACGCACCGCCCUUGAGUGAGUCUUGGGGCGUGUGCGUUGGAAACUUGGGUUUGACAUAUAGUGACACUGUUUCAGCAUAUUAGUAACUUGUAUUAUGUUGUUCAUGUUGGAUAUGAGUAUUUAAACUUUCUACUCUACUUUAUGCUAUGUAUCAAACCUGUAUACUCGCCAACUUUUUGUUGAUGUUAUUUUAAUACAUGUUGCAGGUUGAUUGUUCAAGAUUCAAGAAAACAAGUUAGGAUGGCAUUAGAAACCCAUUUUAGUAAUUAAUUAAUGUUAAAUUUAUGUUUGAUAUUUGAGACUUUGUAAUACUCUUCUAGUUUCAAUAAAAUGAUUUAAAUUCAUAUUGUC
rnacentral:lncRNA from 1 species